UCAGAAUGUUGAGCAAAUUAUGUCAGUUAGUGAUUUCACUUGGGAUGCAUUUUGGGGCAGCAGGCUUGUCCACAAUCUUGAUAAGGGGCCUUGUUCAUCUUUUACAGAGGUAAUAUACAUGAGAAAGUUUGGGUUUUUCAUCACUUUUAGAAGUUAUGAGCCGAGGAAGAGCAUGAGCAUCACUACUUUAUCAGUCCUCCAUUUGGCAGUGUACUCCAAUCUAGAAUCACCUACAGAGGUAUAUAACAAUCAGGUCCAAACCUCUAAUGGCGAUUCAAAAUGAAAUCUAAAGAUAUUAGUAUUAAAGCAUAUUCUAUUACUUAGAUAGAAUCAGUAGAUAAACGUUCUGCUGAUGAGCUCCUAUUUGCAUCUGCAACAAUAUAUAGAAUUUCUGAAUAUCUUUGGCGGACAUCAAAUAUAAAGAUAUAAACUAGCAGGCAUAAUCAAAAUUGUUAACUAUUUUGAUCAACAGGGAAGAGUGAUGAACUCUAAUGUCAUUGUUUUUUUACUGCAUUUCAAAUCAUUUAUUACUAGAUAACUUAUUAAAAAGGAAUCAUCGGAAUCCCAAAAAACAAACCAGCUGUAUUUUGAAAAAUGGAAUUUGUGAGAAGAUCAUGAUCCUUUCUAGAUGUUAGGUCACAGUGCGACUCAUGAUGGGAGGGCAAGGAAGGGUUUGUAAGAUCAAAACUUCUUAGUAAAGUUUUUCAGAUGAGGUUGAAAAUGAUGUAUCCUUGUACGGGGAAUAAGAAACAGAUUUUGACAUACCUCAACCCAGUUACAAUAUUUUAAACAUCAUUACUUAAAAGUUUGAAGCUUGUACCUCCUAUAUAGCAGCGGAGCUAAGAACCUGAAGCUACUCAUGAGCAGGAAAGUGUAAAGAGAACAUAGCAUAUAGGCAAUAUCAUCAUAUUUGCAAAGUAAAAGUUAAGUGACAUACCAAAAGAUCGACGUAACCCUUUGACAGCCUCGAAAUUCUUGUAUGUAUAACCAACAAAAUUCAAAUCUUCGGGAGUUAAUAACAUCUGCCAACAGAUUAUCAGAGCAUAAUAAGGACACUUAGUAUCAUAAAAAGUAUACAGAGUGGUGAUAUGAUAUACCGGAGGAACAUAUUCCAAACGAGUGACCAGAUUAUACAAUUUGCAGAUGAGUGGUCCGGCCGUCAUGACGGCAAUGAAGAUGGGUUAAAUGAAACUAGAAUGACAUGAAAGCUGAACAGGAGUUCAAAAUUUAUAAUGUGUCAACCAAAAUAGAAAACAUGAAGUAGCCAAUGAUAAACACAGUGUGUUAAUAGUUAAUAACAAGUGGAUUACAUUACAUGCCAACCAAAAUAGUGAAAAACAAACGAGCUUUGGUUAAAUUCUAGGAUCAAACACUUUUAUGGAUCUAUGUUUUCCUUUAUAAUUAUAAUUUUUAUUUUUAAAUUGGAGUUUCAUUUAUCAAAAAGUUCCGGUCGUUUUGGAAAAUACUCCAUGUUGGGAAAGUUUGGUCAUGUUUAGCAGUUCUGAAUCCAAAAUGUUUCUGCAGUUUCAACAUAACUAGGAUCAAACACUUUUAUGGAUCUAUGUUUCCUUUAUAAUUAGAAUUUUUAUUUUUAAAUUGGAGUUUCAUUUACAAAAAAGUUCUGGUCGUUUUGGAAAAUGCUCCAUGUUGGGAAAGUUUUGGUCUUGUUUAGCAGUUCUGAAACCAAAAUGUUUCCACAGUUUCAACAUAAAUGAGAAUCCAACAGGGGAAGUAAUCACAAUUAAGGCUCCAUACAGUUACAAGGUAAAGUAUAAUUCUAAAACAACAAAUUAGCUGUUUUGAGUAUUAUUAAAUAUGUCCUGAUGGUACCAUAAAUUUCAAAAUAUGUUUUGUUGUCAUUGAAUUAUAGUAAUUGGUAAGAACUUGUAAAUCCUUUACUUUUUAUCUUGUUAUUAAUAAGUUAGUUAUUGGGAGUGAAUUCCCUCAAUAUAUUGUGAAUUUCCAUUUAUAUACAUAUCAAAGAUGAUUAAUUUCCAUAACCCCAAUCCAGACAUAAGCAUCAAUUCCUGUAAGGCAAAAGAAUUUUAAAACACUAAAUUAAAUUGAGUUCAUAAUUCUUGGGGGCUAUAAACUAUAAAUUUUACUUCAUGUGCUCGUGGUUUUUUUUUUUUUACUUUUAAAUGCAUAGCCAAAUCUUAUACAUGUGUUUCUCUUGUUCUUACUACAGUUCUUAUUAUUUUGAUAUUUUAUUGUUUGGAAAACUAUAAUUCACUGCAAUUAAAUGCUUUCUCAUUAAGGGAAAAAAAAGCAUGGGGUUCAUUAUCAUAAAUUCUUAAUUCAUGUUUUUCUCCAUUUUUAUUAUUUAUCUGAUAUUUUUGAUCCAGAUAUUUAAAAAGCAAAGACUUCAUACCGCGCAGUAUGUGGUUACUACCUAGAAGUCUACUGACU
rnacentral:lncRNA from 1 species